UUAACCUGUUACAGACGGCUAGCAUUAUUACCAGUAUUACUAUCGGGUCUACUACUUCCAUCUAUCAAAGAUUUUUAAUCUGUUGAUUUCAAAUCUUGUACUUCAAUUUUUUAACAUGCAUUUUACUGUAUAAAGGAGGACUAUAAAGUGUGUUUUUAUUUUUGUCGUCGUUAUCGUUAACAGAUGUAU